rnacentral:rRNA from 1 species
ACGGGGCGCAGCAGGCGCGAAACCUCCACAAUGUGAGAAAUCGCGAUAGGGGGAUCGCAAGUGCCAUUCGUAACGGGAUGUCUAUUCUUAAGAGUAAA